rnacentral:rRNA from 1 species
GAUGAACGCUGGCGGCGUGCCUAAUACAUGCAAGUCGAGCGAAGCGGGGACGGGUGAGUAACACGUGGAUAACCUCCUAUAAGACUGGGAUAACUUCGGGAAACCGGAGCUAAACCGGAUACUUAUAGAUGGAUCCGCGCUGCAUUAGCUAGUUGGUAAGGUAACGGCUUACCAAGGCAACGAUGCAUAGCCGACCUGAGAGGGUGAAUCGCCCAACUGGAACCUAGACAAGGGCCAGAAUCCCACGGGGGGCAGCAGUGGGAAAUCUUCGGCAUUGGGCGAAACCCUGCGGAGCCAAGGCGGGGUAGGGAUUAAGGGCUUCGGGUCGUAAAACCCCGUUAUUAAGGAAACGGUACCUAAUCAGAAAGCCACGGCUAACUACGUGCCAGCAGCCGCGGUAAUAC